UACGUAGGGUGCGAGCGUUGUCCGGAAUUAUUGGGCGUAAAGAGCUCGUAGGCGGUUUGUCGCGUCGAAUGUGAAAACCCGGGGCUCAACCCCGGGCCUGCAUUCGAUACGGGGCAGACUAGAGUUCGGUAGGGGAGUCUGGAAUUCCUGGUGUAGCGGUGAAAUGCGCAGAUAUCAGGAGGAACACCUGUGGCGAAGGCGGCCCCCCUGGGCCGGCCCUGACACUGAGACGCGAAGGCGUGGGGAGCGAACAGG
rnacentral:rRNA from 1 species